UCAUAUAGAGUCUCUGAUACAAAACGAAUAUUAUGUCUUCCUAUGUAUGGCCGUAUUAUACAAAAGAAAAUACAGGUGCAAGGUGCAAUUUUUGUAAAAAAUAUUGUUCUCUUUACCCAUCCUAUUCCAAUAUAAGAAGUCACAUAAAGAAGAAACAUAAAGAUGAAGGAGUAAGCGAAUAUUACUUUAAUGUAAUACAAGACAAAAUAGAAUGUGAAACUUGUCAUAAAAUAUAUGAUAAGCAUUACAUCGUUGCAUACAUAAUGAGACAACAUUUAUUAAUUGAACAUAGAAUUGAUAAAAAUAUAGCGAUGGAACAUAAAAACUGGAUAAAAAAUAGUAAGGAUGUUACAUUAAAUCCGGAUGGUACAAUAACGUGCCGACAUUGCAAAGAAGUUUGUCCAAGGAAUUAUGUCUAUUUAAUGGAACAUUUGAUCACUCAUGAUGAAGUCAAUGAAUUUUUGGCAAUUAUGUAAACGGGGCAAAAUGCUAUAGAUAUUCCUAAAAAUAUCUACAAAUAACUAAUACGCAAUUUUUAUCAAUUUGGCAAUGUAAAUGACUAUAUAUCACUAUAUCUUGGAGAUUCUGAGUUAAACAGCUCUCAGUCAACGAAUUUUGAACAUUGCUGAAUAUGAUGGCCCUACUGAAUUCAAAAAUAUAUUUAAAAGUAAGGACAUGAAAAAAUUUUACGCUUUGAUAAGUAAUAAUUUGCUUUUUGACGUAACAAUAAGUAAUAUAAUACGAAAUUAUAAUUAUAAUACA